rnacentral:rRNA from 1 species
GUCGAGAAUCUUGGACAAUGCGCGAAAGCGUGAUCCAGCGACGCCGCGUGGAGGAUGAAGGUCUUCGGAUUGUAAACUCCUGUUGUCAGGGAGCAACCGGUGGUGUGCUAAUACCACAUCGCUCUGAUAGUACCUGACGAGAAAGCCACGGCUAACUCUGUGCCAGCAGCCGCGGUAAUACAGAGGUGGCAAGCGUUGUUCGGAUUUACUGGGCGUAAAGGGUGCGUAGGAGGUCGUGUGUGUCGGAUGUGAAAUCUUGCUGUUCAUCGGCAAAACUGCAUUCGAAACUACAUGGCUAGAGUGCAGGAGAGGAGAGCAGAAUUCUCGGUGUAGCGGUGAAAUGCGUUGAUAUCGAGAGGAAUGCCGGUGGUGAAGACGGCUCUCUGGACUGUAACUGACUCUGAGGCACGAAAGCUAGGGGAGCAAACAGGAUUAGAAACCCUAGUAGUCC